rnacentral:lncRNA from 1 species
GACCCCGCGGGGAGGCCCCAAAGCCAUUGGGGUGCUGCGCUCAGCCAAAUGGCCGCAAAGGGAGGAAUGUUCCCCCUGGUCCUCACAUAUACAUGGCUGCACACUCGAUUGAAACAUAGUUAAAGAGGAUACUAAAGCUUGGAACGCUGUUUGUGGGUUCUAGGAGGAUGGAGGAAAAGAACUACGCUUGUGUAUCCAGUCAAUCAUGGUGUCCCUCAAGCAAAGCUGUCUAGAACACUUUCCCAAGGAAAGAAGAUAAAGCAAAGUUCAAAAGGCACCAUACAACUGUUAAACCUGCAAGAGCUUA